rnacentral:rRNA from 1 species
AUGAACGCUGGCGGCGUGCCUAAUACAUGCAAGUCGAGCGAACAGACGAGGAGCUUGCUCCUCUGACGUUAGCGGCGGACGGGUGAGUAACACGUGGAUAACCUACCUAUAAGACUGGGAUAACUUCGGGAAACCGGAGCUAAUACCGGAUAAUAUAUUGAACCGCAUGGUACAAUAGUGAAAGACGGUUUUGCUGUCACUUAUAGAUGGAUCCGCGCCGCAUUAGCUAGUUGGUAAGGUAACGGCUUACCAAGGCAACGAUGCGUAGCCGACCUGAGAGGGUGAUCGGCCACACUGGAACUGAGACACGGUCCAGACUCCUACGGGAGGCAGCAGUAGGGAAUCUUCCGCAAUGGGCGAAAGCCUGACGGAGCAACGCCGCGUGAGUGAUGAAGGUCUUCGGAUCGUAAAACUCUGUUAUUAGGGAAGAACAAAUGUGUAAGUAACUAUGCACGUCUUGACGGUACUUAAUCAGAAAGCCACGGCUAACUACGUG